rnacentral:rRNA from 1 species
AUUGAACGCUGGCGGCAGGCCUAACACAUGCAAGUCGGGCGGAGCGGCGGACGGGUGAGUAAUGCCUAGGAAUCUGCCUGGUAGUGGGGGAUAACGUCCGGAAACGGGCGCUAAUACCGCAUACUAUCAGAUGAGCCUAGGUCGGAUUAGCUAGUUGGUGGGGUAAAGGCCUACCAAGGCGACGAUCCGUAACUGGUCUGAGAGGAUGAUCAGUCACACUGGAACUGAGACACGGUCCAGACUCCUACGGGAGGCAGCAGUGGGGAAUAUUGCACAAUGGGCGCAAGCCUGAUGCAGCCAUGCCGCGUGUGUGAAGAAGGCCUUCGGGUUGUAAAGCACUUUCAGCGAGGAGGCGUUACUCGCAGAAGAAGCACCGGCUAACUCCGUGCCAGCAGCCGCGGUAAUAC